rnacentral:rRNA from 1 species
UACGUAGGGUGCAAGCGUUGUCCGGAAUUAUUGGGCGUAAAGAGCGUGUAGGCGGCCCGACCAGUCCGCUGUGAAAGUCCAGGGCUCAACCCUGGAAUGCCGGUGGAUACUGUCGGGCUAGAGUCCGGAAGGGGCGAGUGGAAUUCCUGGUGUAGCGGCGAAAUGCGCAGAUAUCAGGAGGAACACCAAUGGCGAAGGCAGCUCGCUGGGACGUGACUGACGCUGAGACGCGAAAGCGUGGGGAGCAAACAGG